rnacentral:lncRNA from 1 species
AUGCUAGAGGAUGUCUCAGAUGGUCAAAAUGUCAAAGAUCAUUUACUUUUGCAGCAGUAUCCAUCAUCUCUGUCCCUUAUGCUCUACCAAGAUGCAUUCGAAGUGGUCAGUCCAUUAGGUCCAGGCAAAACAAAACACAAAAUCCUAGCAGUGUACAUGACACUAGGUGAGAUUUUAUCGCACAACCGGUCUUCUGUUGAUGCGAUGCAACUUGUUUCGCUUUGCAGAGAAGCCGAUUUCAAGACUUUUGGCCACAACAAAGUUUUUGCCAGUCUUACUGCAGACCUUAAAAAUUUGGAAGAGACGGGGUUUCUGGCAGCAGACGGAAACAUGAUCAAAGCAGUUUUGAUAGCCUUCUUAGGGGGCAAUCUGGGCUCACACUGCAUUGGUGGUUUUACUGAGAAUUUCAGUUGCAGCAAACAUUUUUGCAGAUACUGCUUAGUUGACAGGGAAGGCUUCAUUAAAAAUCCACUAGCACUUUGCCCAAAAAGAACUGCUGACAACUAUAAAGAUAGUAUAGAGAUCCUCUCCACAACUGACCAGUCUGUUGUGAAUGGGAUAAAAUGUAACUCUGUAUUCAAUUCACUGAAGUACUUCCAUGUGUGCUCUGGGCUACCUCCAUGUUUGGGCCAUGUCCAUGACCUAUAUGAAGGAGUAGUUUCAGGUGACUUGUCACUAUAUAUUGACACCCUUGUUCAAGUUGAGAAGCAUUUCACAUAUAAUGAGUUAAACAGAGCUGUUGCAAAGUUCAAACACAUAGGAAGUGAUGCUUUAAGUAAGCCAUGUGAGGUGAAAACAGGACAGAGGUUGGCAGGUUCAGCAGCACAAAACCGAUGCCUUCUGCGACUUUUACCUCUGUACAUUGGUGAAAAGAUAAAAGAUCCUGUGGAUAAUGAGGUUUGGCAGUUAUGUCUUAAGCUCAGAGACAUUGUUGAACUUGUAUGUGCCCCCCAAAUCAGUCACAAUGACAUUGCCUACCUAAAGAUAAUGAUAGAGGAGUAUAUAUAUCUGAGGCACAGUAUGUUUCCUGACAAGGCUUUGAAACCAAAGCACCACUAUUUGUCACAUUAUCCAGAGCUUAUACUUCACUUUGGGCCACUUAUUCAUUUAUGGACUCUUAGGUUUGAGAGCAAGCACUCUUAUUUCAAACAAUGUUCAAGAAAAGUGCAUAACUUUGUCAAUUUAUGCAAGACUCUGGCUGAACGGCAUCAGCUACUGCAGUCCUACCUCUUGGCAGGGCAAAUAUUUCCACCUACAAUUCAAAUCAUUGGGGAAGCGAAUGAUUAUAGACAUCAUCUUUACAACUCUGCCACUCAGGAUGCUGUGACAAAAGCAGAUGUCUCUAAUCAUAACAUGCUAGAUGUGUCAGCAGUUGUCUACAAAGGUACCAAAUAUGUCAAAGGUCAUGUUGUUGUAGUAGAUCACACUGAUGAGAGCACAGAGGUUGGGAAGAUAGUUGUGAUACUUGUUAAUGAUUCUAAAUUGUACUUUGUGCUAGAAUUGCAUCAGUCAGUACGCCUUAUUGACCUUGGACUUUAUUGCCUACACUGCCCUACAGACAGAAGUUUGUGUGUAAAUGCUGACAGUCUGAUGGAUUAUUACCCAAUACCCCUUUAUAACAUGGCAGAUCAUUUUGUUGUUUCCCUGCACCAUUCAGUUUCUUCAUGA